rnacentral:rRNA from 1 species
AGCUCAAAUUUGAAAUCUGGCUUCGGCCCGAGUUGUAAUUUGCAGAGGAUGCUUUUGGUGCGGUGCCUUCCGAGUUCCCUGGAACGGGACGCCACAGAGGGUGAGAGCCCCGUAUGGUCGGACACCAAUCCUGUGUAAAGCUCCUUCGACGAGUCGAGUAGUUUGGGAAUGCUGCUCUAAAUGGGAGGUAAAUCUCUUCUAAAGCUAAAUACCGGCCAGAGACCGAUAGCGCACAAGUAGAGUGAUCGAAAGAUGAAAAGCACCUUGAAAAGGGGGUUAAACAGUACGUGAAAUUGUUGAAAGGGAAGCACUUGUGACCAGACUUGGGCCGGGCGGCUCAUCAGGGGUUCUCCCCUGUGCAUUCCGCCCGGUACAGGCCAGCAUCGGUUCUUACCGGGGGAUAAGAACGGCAGGAACGUGGCUCCCUCUCGGGGGAGUGUUAUAGCCUGCCGUACGAUACCCUGGCGGGGACCGAGGUUCGCGCUUCCGCAAGGAUGCUGGCGUAAUGGUUACUAGUGACCCGUCUUGAAACACGGACCAAGGAGUCGUCCAUUAGAGCGAGCGUUUGGGUGUAAAACCCGCACGCGUAAUGAAAGUGAAAUUAGGUGAGAGCUUCGGCGCAUCAUCGACCGAUCCUGAUGUUCUCGGAUGGAUUUGAGUAAGAGUUUUAACGGACGGACCCGAAAGACAGUGAACUAUGCUUGUAUAGGGUGAAGCCAGAGGAAACU